AUUGAACGCUGGCGGCAGGCUUAACACAUGCAAGUCGAGCGAGCGGAGGACGGGAGAGUGAUGUCUGGGACACUGCCUGAUGGAGGGGGAUAACUACUGGAAACGGAAGCUCAUACCGCAUACCAUCAGCUGGUCCCAGAUUGGAUUAGCUAGUAGGUGGGGUAAUGGCUCACCGGGGCUACGAUCCAUAGCUGGUAUGAGAGGAGGACCAGCCACACGGGAACUGAGUCACGGUCCAGACUCCUACGGUAGGCAGCAGUGGGGAAUAUUGCACAAUGGGCGCAAGCCUGGUGCAGCCAUGCCGCGUGUGUGAAGAAGGCCUUCGGGUUGUAAAGCACUUUCAGCGAGGAGGCGUUACUCGCAGAAGAAGCACCGGCUAACUCCGUGCCAGCCGCCGCGGUAAUAC
rnacentral:rRNA from 1 species